rnacentral:tRNA from 1 species
GCCUGGUUGGCUCAGUGGGUAGAGCAUGUGACUCUUGAUCUUGGGGGUUGUGAGUUCGAGUCCCAUGUUGGGUG